rnacentral:rRNA from 1 species
UACAGAGGGGGCAAGCGUUAUUCGGAAUUAUUGGGCGUAAAGGGCGCGUAGGCGGCCUGGCAAGUGGAAGGUGAAAUCCCUCGGCUUAACCGAGGAACUGCCCUCCAAACUGCUUGGCUUGAGUCCGGGAGAGGUGAGUGGAAUUCCUGGUGUAGCGGUGAAAUGCGCAGAUAUCAGGAAGAACACCCGUGGCUAAGGCGGCUCUCUAGUACGGUACUGACGCUGAGACGCGAAAGCGUGGGGAGCGAACAGG